GCGGCAGCGGCGCGGGCAGGGCGGGGGGCUCGGGCAGCCCGCCGACGGCCAGCGAGGGCGAGAGGUGCUCCAGCAGGUCGCCGCCGUCCAGCGCCGGCUGCGAGCAAGAACGCGCACGCUGGAGUCAGUGGGGAAUACUGUCAUCUCCGGAUGAAAAACCUGCCCCGGCACCGCGAUGCCUCCUCGGAGCUCAGGUCAUAAAAAUUAAUAUGAAGGCAGCGGCCCCGCUCGCGCAGACGUGCGGAUCAGAGACGGGAGCGGGAGAGGGGGGAGAGAGGUUCCGAGGCGCGCGAGCGUUCUGGCGACAUGAAAAAAACAUUAAGCCGGUGCCUGUCAGAAAAUGUGCCUUACAGCGGUAAUUAGGCUUCAUCUACAUACCUGCGGGGCCGGGAGGCAAACUCUGCGCAUCGCCUCGGCGCUGGAGUGCAGGCUGGAGAACUUGGGCUCCGGGAGGGCGGCGUGCACGGCGAAGGGCUGCUUGGCGUCCAUGGCCAUCAUCUCCGCGCACCUCGCAGGAAAUUGUGAUAAAUCCGCCAGUCCGGUGGGGCGUGGGGCUGCUUCAGUGUCCUCAGAGCAGCCUCGCAGUGUGGAGGGGCCUUGGGGCACGCGGUCACACCAGUGCUGUAUUCCCUGCCGCUGCCGCAGCGACUCUGCAGACAUGCAGACAGACACACAGACACUACCAACUUCCGCGGCCUCCCCUCCAUAAAUCCUGUAAAAUACAUUCUCAAGUGCAGGAGAGCCAAGUGGCCCAAUCGAUGCCGAGCGUGCCCGGCCGCAGGCGCGUUGUGGGUCACAAACAUCUGAUCCUUGGCUUGGGAGGGGAAAUCAAACAACGACCCCCAAGAGAAACAGCCCUGAGGCUGGUGUAAUGCCAGCGCUGAGCUGCCGGAUUAUGUUUGAGUUCUCCUAUCUUCACACACCUGCAGAC